GCAAGAAUAGCCCAGGAAUAAGAGUCUAUAGGGUGGACCAUCAACUGGGCAGUAAGUGAGAAGAAGAGGAAGAUUGCAGUAUCAGAAAAAACAUCAGUGAAAACUCUAAAGAAUGAGCAAAUACAAAGGGCUUAUAAAAGGACUAGGAUUUGGGCAUUGGCCACACUGUGGCAUCCUAGGUCAGCUGUGAGGAUCAAAAGGGAGCUGAAACUCCUACUACUAACAGAGGUGUGCUGGACAGAAGGUGAGGGAACUGAAGCACAAAGAGGUCAACCAAUGUGCCCAAGGACAUGUGAUUGAGUACAAAGCAAGGAGGUUCUGAAGAUAACCAGUCUGGGUUUCGAAUUCUAGCACACUUGGCCACUGAACUCCUGUGACCUAAAAACUAAACACCAGCUUAUUUAUACAUUCCAUGUUAAAAUGUUCUUGAUCUGCUAAAAUGUCCACAGUUACUCAAUCAUUCCUUUUUAUUUGGGGCCUGUGUAGGUCUAAGGAUAUAGACAAUGUCUCCUGGUAUGUCUUAGCCCCGGAGACUUCUCUUUGAUUUUCAACUAACAUGCUGGUGAAAAAAUGUCUACUGAAUAGAAAAGAGUUCGACAAGAUCAGUUUUUAAUCCUAUUCUCAUAACUGUUAAGUGUCUGCCUUUUCAGAAGUGAUAACCAACUGAGCUUUCCCCAUCUGCAAAAUAUGAACAAUAAUUCACAUGCUUCAGUUCCCUUAUGAGCUUUUAACAAAUAAAGCACAGAAUACGAUGACA